rnacentral:rRNA from 2 species
AUUACUGCACGUCGACGAACUCUGGUAUUGAUUGGUACUUGUCCUCAUGAUUUACAUUUGAGUGAGUGGCGAACUGGUGAGUAACACGUGGGAAACUUGCCCAGAAGCGGGGGAUAACACCUGGAAACAGAUGCUAAUACCGCAUAACAACUUGGACCGCAUGGUCCGAGUUUGAAAGAUGGUUUCGGCUAUCACUUCUGGAUAGUCCCGCGGCGCAUUAGCUAGAUGGUGAGGUAACGGCUCACCAUGGCAAUGAUGCGUAGCCGACCUGAGAGGGUAAUCGGCCACAUUGGGACUGAGACACGGCCCAAACUCCUACGGGAGGCAGCAGUAGGGAAUCUUCCACAAUGGACGAAAGUCUGAUGGAGCAACGCCGCGUGAGUGAAGAAGGGUUUCGGCUCGUAAAACUCUGUUGUUAAAGAAGAACAUAUCUGAGAGUAACUGUUCAGGUAUUGACGGUAUUUAACCAGAAAGCCACGGCUAACUACGUGCCAGCAGCCGCGGUAAUACGUAGGUGGCAAGCGUUGUCCGGAUUUAUUGGGCGUAAAGCGAGCGCAGGCGGUUUUUUAAGUCUGAUGUGAAAGCCUUCGGCUCAACCGAAGAAGUGCAUCGGAAACUGGGAAACUUGAGUGCAGAAGAGGACAGUGGAACUCCAUGUGUAGCGGUGAAAUGCGUAGAUAUAUGGAAGAACACCAGUGGCGAAGGCGGCUGUCUGGUCUGUAACUGACGCUGAGGCUCGAA